rnacentral:rRNA from 1 species
GAUGAACGCUGGCGGCGUGCCUAACACAUGCAAGUCGAACGGAGUCGUUUUGGAAAUCUCUUCGGAGAUGGAAUUCUCGACUUAGUGGCGGACGGGUGAGUAACGCGUGAGCAAUCUGCCUUUAAGAGGGGGAUAACAGUCGGAAACGGCUGCUAAUACCGCAUAAAGCAUUAAAUUCGCAUGUUUUUGAUGCCAAAGGAGCAAUCCGCUUUUGGAUGAGCUCGCGUCUGAUUAGCUAGUUGGCGGGGUAACGGCCCACCAAGGCGACGAUCAGUAGCCGGACUGAGAGGUUGAACGGCCACAUUGGGACUGAGACACGGCCCAGACUCCUACGGGAGGCAGCAGUGGGGAAUAUUGCGCAAUGGGGGAAACCCUGACGCAGCAACGCCGCGUGAUUGAAGAAGGCCUUCGGGUUGUAAAGAUCUUUAAUCAGGGACGAAACAAAUGACGGUACCUGAAGAAUAAGCUCCGGCUAACUACGUG